rnacentral:rRNA from 1 species
GAUGAACGAUGGCGGCGUGCUUAACACAUGCAAGUCGAACGGAAAGGCUCCUGCUUGCAGGGGUACUCGAGUGGCGAACGGGUGAGUAACACGUGGGUGAUCUGCCCUGCACUUCGGGAUAAGCCUGGGAAACUGGGUCUAAUACCGGAUAGGACGAUGGUUUGGAUGCCAUUGUGGAAAGUUUUUCGGUGUGGGAUGAGCUCGCGGCCUAUCAGCUUGUUGGUGGGGUAAUGGCCUACCAAGGCGUCGACGGGUAGCCGGCCUGAGAGGGUGUACGGCCACAUUGGGACUGAGAUACGGCCCAGACUCCGACGGGAGGCAGCAGUGGGGAAGAUUGCACAAUGGGCGCAAGCCUGAUGCAGCGACGCCGCGUGGGGGAGGACGGCCUUCGGGUUGUAAACUCCUUUCGCUAGGGACGAAGCGUUUUGUGACGGUACCUGGAGAAGAAGCACCGGCUAACUACGUG